UCUGUGGUAUUGAGUUUCGCCCGGAGAGUGAAUUGAAGAGAGUGCUUUUAGGUGCGGACAACGAAGAUGGCAACAACAAGUAGCAAUUCAAACAUGAACUGUAGAGCGCCAGGCUAUAUGUAUUGGCUCAAAAAAAAAUCCCUCGGUAAGCUACCGUCGGCUGCCCGACGACCCACGACUUUUGAAGAAGUGGCUCCAUGUCCUGAAGAGGAAGGACAUGCCAGCUCGAGCUAGCAGGGUCUGCAGACAGCACUUUCCGGAGGCAGACUUCGCAAUGAAGGGCACUUUUGAUGCGAAAACUGGGAGUUUCCGAAUGGAAAGGAGUCAUAGGCCCAAGUUGAAGCCCUCUGCUUGCGUCAAUUUUACAUUUGGAGGGUUAUGGUGUAGGGGUUACCGACCGACCAUCAUCAACAUCGCUGAAUUCGGAGUCAAGCAAAAUCGACUGAACGGAGGAGGCGACGCGAGUCAAUGCAAUGGAGUCUGAGGAUGACAUCGUCAUCCCUGAAAAGGUUUAUCCUGGAUGAGACUGUGCAGGUGGCAGAGGAGAAUGGUUAGUACAGCCUGCCAAACUGACCCCUGGGUGCCAGUCUGUUCCUGUGCUGCGGUGGAGAAGAGGUCCACCGGGACCAUCACUAAAGAGCUCUGGGCCCAGCUAGAUUGAGCCCACGAACAUCAGUAUACAACUGAGUCCGGCCCCUAAACGCCACAGAUGGAGCUGACGGAGAGUGAGAUCAAUGAAGACCAGAACUCGCUGUAUGAACCUGAGAGCUCAGAAUCACAAUCAUCACAGUACGAGCCAAGAUAUACUAUCAAUCACUUUGUGGGAGCGGGCUGGUGUUCCGAAAAUGGAGAAGGAACAAGCCAUGGACAGCAAAUUCAAAGAAACACCCAUCCAUAAAGGGAAUCGGAGUGGAAUUGUGUUUCCACAGAUUUUUUAACCCGUUUCAACAGAUGUGCUACCUUGUCCCGGUCCUGCUGUUUUGAUUCUCUCUCUCAACCUAUGAAUGCUCAGCUAUAAAAAGCCAACUGACAUUUGCUCCUGAGGUGUUGAACUGUUGCACCCUCUAUAACCACUGUGGUUAUUAUUUUGAUGUAAAAACAGCUUUUGUGAAAUACAUUUGAUAGAUUGUUUGCUGUGCUGGAUGCUGUGUAUUCCCUAACUGUCACAGUGAUGGGACAUUUAUGUCUAACAUAUUGUGGUGGGUAUUUAAUCUGCAUCUUAACUAUUUAAAGUGGCAAUCAGCUGUAGAAACAAUAAGUGUCUCCCUGCUCCUCUUUCGAUAAAAAAGCUGAGGGACAGGGCUGGAGAAAUCUAACCACUCUCAAAUUCAAAGACAGGCCUAUAGAUGCAAGG